UACGUAGGGUGCGAGCGUUGUCCGGAAUUAUUGGGCGUAAAGAGCUUGUAGGCGGUUUGUCGCGUCUGCUGUGAAAAUCCGGGGCUCAACCCCGGACUUGCAGUGGGUACGGGCAGACUAGAGUGUGGUAGGGGGGACUGGAAUUCCUGGUGUAGCGGUGGAAUGCGCAGAUAUCAGGAGGAACACCGACGGCGAAGGCAGGUCUCUGGGCCACUACUGACGCUGAGACGCGAAAGCGUGGGGAGCAAACAGG
rnacentral:rRNA from 1 species